ACGGAACGCUGGCGGCGUGGAUUAGGCAUGCAAGUCGAACGGUAUGGACCUUUCGGGGUUCAGAGAGUGGCGAACGGGUGAGUAACACGUAGGUUAUCUACCCUCAAAACGGGGACAACCCAGGGAAACUUGGGCUAAUACCGGAUGUGAGCAACUUUUAGUUGUUUGAAAGGUGGCGUAAGCUGUCGCUUGGGGAUGAGCCUGCGCCCUAUUAGUUAGUUGGUGAGGUAACGGCUCACCUAGGCAAUGAUAGGUAGGCGGCCUUAACGGGUGGUCGCCCACACUGGGAUUGAGAUACGGCCCAGACUCCUACGGGAGGCAGCAGUCGAGAAUAGUCUACAAUGGUCGGAAGACUGAUAGUGCGACGCCGCGUGAACGAUGAAUCCCUUCGGGGUGUAAAGUUCUUUUAUAUGUGAGCAGUGCUUCUUAUAUUAACAGUAUGGGGAGAGAGAUAUUAGCAUAUGAAUAAGCAACGGCUAACUCCGUG
rnacentral:rRNA from 1 species